GAAUCUAAGAAAGUAAGAAACCAAUAUCAAAUUUUUUUGGGAAAAACUUCAAAAACCCACCAUGUGGUUUCUUAGUUUCUCACUUUGCCCCCCUGUAGUUUAAAAUGUAUCAAUUUGCCCCCCUGUGGUUUCUUUUUUCUUUUUUUCUUAUCAAUUUCAUUAUUUUUUUUCUUAAAUCAGUGAUAAAGUUAAAAUUAAAGGGUACUAAAGUGAAUAUUUGAUAAAUCUAGAUGGGUAUCUGAAGUUUUUUGUAUAUAAUUUAAUAAAAUAUUAACGAAAAAGUUAUCGAAAAGAUAAAAACGAAACCACAAGGGGGGGCAAUUUGAUACAUUUUAAACCACAGGGGGGCAAAGUGAGAAACUAUGAAACCACGGGAGGGUUUUUGAAGUUUUCCGUUUUUUUUUAAAAAAUUAUUCUUACUUUUUUUUUUCUUUUAGAUUUGAGUUUGUGAUUUUUGGGAAGGAAGCAACAAGCCAAAGAAGCCAACAAGAGGAUGGCCACCUUCUUGGCCUCCGGAGGAAAGGGGGGGAAUUAACACGGAGGUAAAAGCACCCCCUCUUUUGAGGCUUUUACUAUUAGGGUUUGGGAAGAUUUUGACUAUUAGAAUUUGGGUUAUAAAAAUGAGAGUAUUUUUUUUUUUGGCCUUUAUAUUCAGAUUUAAUGGUUUGAAUUUUUUUUAUAUAUUACAUUAUAUUAAAUUUGUUCAGGUUUGGGUCGGGUUCGGGUUCGGGUUCGGGUCGAGUUCGGAUUUUUUUUAAAAUAUUCAUAUCCAAAUCCGAAUCCAUCGGAUUUUUUGUUUUAAUAUCCAAAUCCAUAUCCGCUUACAUCGGAUAAAAUCCGUUUAGUUCGGAUUCGGAUAAAAUUCAGAUAUCCGUAUCCAUUAACAUCCCUACAUGUGACUGCAUACUAUUGCUAUCUAAUUCCAAAUAAUUUUGGACAUUAAAGUGUUAAAUAAUACGAAAUAAUUGUUAUUCUCUAAGACUUGAACUCAAGACCUUCUGUUCUGAUACCAUAUUAAACAACCGUUAUACUCUUAAAAAACAUAAGACGGUAAAAAAUGGUAUUUAAAUAUUUUUAUAGUUAACAUAA
rnacentral:lncRNA from 1 species